GCAAGUCGAACGCAGUAGCAUACUGAGUGGCAAACGGGUGAGUAUAAUGUGGGAAUCUGCCUUUUGGUUUGGAAUAACACGGGGAAACUUGUGCUAAUACCGAAUAAGCCCUUACGGGGAAAGUUUUAACGCCGAAAGAUGAGCCUGCACUUGAUUAGCUAGUUGGUAAGGUAAAGGCUUACCAAGGCAACGAUCAAUAGCUGUUCUUAGAGGAAGACCAGCCACAUUGGGACUGAGACACGGCCCAGACUCCUACGGGAGGCAGCAGUGGGGAAUCUUGCACAAUGGGGGAAACCCUGAUGCAGCGAUGCCGCGUGAGUGAAGAAGGCCCUUGGGUUGUAAAACUCUUUCGUCGGGGAAGAAAAUGACUGUACCCGAAUAAGAAGGUCCGGCUAACUUCGUGCCAGCAGCCGCGGUAAUACGAAGGGACCUAGCGUAGUUCGGAAUUACUGGGCUUAAAGAGCUCGUAGGUGGUUAAAAAAGUUGAUGGUGAAAUCCCAAGGCUCAACCUUGGAACUGCCAUCAAAACUUUUUAGCUAGAGUGUGAUAGAGGUAAGUGGAAUUUCUAGUGUAGAGGUGAAAUUU
rnacentral:rRNA from 1 species